CGUCUUAGUUCGUGGAGUGAUCUGUCUGCUUAAUUGCGUUUCACUAAGGGCCCAUAAAUUCAAGGUAUGUUAGCUAUCGUUUCUCAAUUGACCCCUUGUCUUCGAUAAGCGCGUGUCUUUUAGAGUUUAAACAUUGCGCAUGCUGUUGGGUCCUGAAAGCAACGAACGUGACCGCAACGUCUUAUUGCCUUUAUCUUGCUAUAUUCUAAUUUAAUUAAAAAUAGCUAACAGAGGCUAAUUUAAAAUUAGACGGACCGCUGUACUUUUCUUAAACCAGAGGAAGGUUGCGGCAAUAACAGGUCUGUGAUGCCCUUAGAUGUUCCGGGCUGCACACGUGCUACAAUGAUCAGUACAGUGAGCAUCUCAAUAUUAUACACCGUAUUAAGCGCUUAGUUGCGAUUAUUGGCUCAUUAUUGGGUCUUUUAAUUGUAUUUCUAAUGCGCGCGGUAAAGCCUGCUUCGAGAGUAAGUGGGUAAUCCAUUGGAAGUAAUGAUUUCUCUUUUUAUAGCACACCUAUAUACGGCAUUCAUUCCCGGGACGACUAGUUUCGUCUUUUUUGUGCGAAUGUAAUGUAUUCUUUAUCCGUAUGUGCGAUUGUCA
rnacentral:rRNA from 1 species